AUUUUCAGAAAGUACAUUUUACAAUAAUUAUAUUCCCCUGAAAAUUACUCCUCUAAUAUGGAACAAGUCCUUGUUUAGAGGAGGAGUUAAUACAACAUUUAGUACAAUUUGCAACAAUUGGUACAAUACAAGAAAGAAGUGGUUAAUCUUCUACAGCUGUAGUUUAAGCCCAGGCCACAUCAAACUCGCUCCCGCGGCGGUAGCGAAGUUAAAAAACUCGCUUUCCAUGUUAUUAAAAUUGAGCAGGCCACACCGAGCUCGCUCCUGCAGAGGGAGUACCUCGGCGGUAAUUUCACUUCACCGUGCCAGGCGAACUUUUGAAACAUCUGCUGGUGGUACUACCGCAGAGGUAGCGAGCUCGGCCUGCCUUGCACAAUUGAAUAACAUGGAAAGCGAGUUUUAAAAGUUUGCCUUCGGUAGCGCAUGCGCAGGAUACCUAGACUCACACUUGACAAUGAGUCAUUCGCAUGUCACAUUAUUUCUAAGUAAUUUUAGGUUGCUCAAAUUAAUUAGCGUCAUGUCCACUGUCGAUCACUUCUGGAGGGGAUGUGCGUAAACUUGUGAAAUUAUACAUCAAAUUGGAGAGAAUUUUAUGCUCUAUAAGCUCAUGAUCAGCAUGUAUUUUUCCCAUCGAUAUU